UUUAAUAUGGCAGAAAAGUGCAAUAGAUUUAAACCCUAUAUAUAAAGAUUCAAAAUUAUGUUCUUUUAUUAAA
rnacentral:tRNA from 1 species